AGUGAACGCUGGCGGUAGGCCUAACACAUGCAAGUCGAACGGCAGCACAGUAAUAGCUUGCUCUGACGGGUGGCGAGUGGCGGACGGGUGAGGAAUACAUCGGAAUCUACUUUUUCGUGGGGGAUAACGUAGGGAGACUUACUCUAAUACCGCAUACGACCUACGGGUGAAAGCAGGGGAUCUUCGGGGCUUGCGCGGUUGAAUGAGCCGAUGUCGGAUUAGCUAGUUGGGGGGGGAAAGGCCCACCAAGGGGACGAUCCGUAGCUGGUGUGAGAGGAUGGUCAGCCACCUUGGAGCGUGAACAGCGACCAGAGUCCUGAGAGAGGCACCAGUCGGGAACAUUGGACAGUAGGGGGAAGCAUGACACAGCCAUCCCGAGUGGGUGACGGAGGCGUUCGGGUUGUAAAGCCCUUUUGUUGGGAAAGAACCGCAGCAGCUUAAUACCACGCUGUUGUGACGGUAACCAAAGAAUAAGCACCGGCUAACUUCGUG
rnacentral:rRNA from 1 species